UUCGCGAUCAUGAGGAUGACUUCUUGUCCUCAUAUUGAUUUUCCAUACCUUUUUGUAUGCAUUCACAAUUUAAAGGAGUUUGACAAUCUUGAACCAGUGAUCCGAAGAUCCACAACGGUUGCAUUAAUGUCAUGAGCUGACGUGAGUAGUUUUGACAAAAUGGUGUCUAGACCGGGAGUGUCGCUAUUAGAGCCGGCGACACCUCCCCCUCUUUUCUAGACAUCGGCACGACGUUUUCUACCGUUGCCAUGACCCAUAUUGUUGUCCCCACAUUAGGGGAUAAUCCCUAAUAAGUUUAUCACAUUAGCGUAUAUACAAUUCCCGUUUGUAUGAUCAAAAUCAAGUCUCGUUGGUAAUUCCACACCAACUUGGAGGACCUAGAGAACUUGAUGAUGAUCGAAUCCGCUAAAGAUUAUGGAUCAUGAUGCCACAAAAGAUCAUCGACAAUAUGUAGUCAAUUAAGGUGGUAAGCAAUCCACUUGACUAAUAACUCAACAAGGAGAGUUAUAUGAACGUUUCGAGAAACGCUCCAUGAGUGCAUUCCACAGUACUUUGUGGUCAUUACUUUUUGCACAGGUUGCCAUUGAAGGCUUUUGUCGAUGUGGCGCUUCAAAAACUUUGAGCGCAUGAGAUGUGAAAUCUCGGCAUCUAGGCUUGUUACCCUGAGGGUCAAAACAUGUGGUUUAAUCCUUUCCAAUGAAAGGUUCCACAGAUAUCAAGUGAAGAUCCGCCUUAGGCAUCUAGUACGUCAAAACUCAAAGGAGCAGAAUGUUACAUUGCUCUUGCAUACAAAACCAAGCUGUUAUGAGAUUCGAUAGAGGUCACAAACGAUGCUUUUAAUGGUUUGUCCUUCGGAUUGAUCAUACACAAUCCGGAAAAGCCGCGAAUUGAUCAAACACAAUUCGGAAAAAGGCUUCGGAUUGAUCAAACACAAUCCGGUGAAAGGUCGGGGUUGAUCAAACACAACCCGGACAAAGAAACAAGAGUGAUCAAACACACUCUUGACCCGCGAAUAAAAUUCCGGGAUUUGGUUACCUACACGCACAAAAUCCCAAGCAUAGAAUGG
rnacentral:lncRNA from 1 species